rnacentral:rRNA from 1 species
CGCGGCCUAUCAGCUUGUUGGUGGGGUAAUGGCCUACCAAGGCGACGACGGGUAGCCGGCCUGAGAGGGUGACCGGCCACACUGGGACUGAGAUACGGCCCAGACUCCUACGGGAGGCAGCAGUGGGGAAUAUUGCACAAUGGGCGCAAGCCUGAUGCAGCGACGCCGCGUGAGGGAUGACGGCCUUCGGGUUGUAAACCUCUUUCAGCACAGACGAAGCGCAAGUGACGGUAUGUGCAGAAGAAGGACCGGCCAACUACGUGCCAGCAGCCGCGGUAAUACGUAGGGUCCGAGCGUUGUCCGGAAUUACUGGGCGUAAAGAGCUCGUAGGUGGUUUGUCGCGUUGUUCGUGAAAACUCACAGCUUAACUGUGGGCGUGCGGGCGAUACGGGCAGACUUGAGUACUGCAGGGGAGACUGGAAUUCCUGGUGUAGCGGUGGAAUGCGCAGAUAUCAGGAGGAACACCGGUGGCGAAGGCGGGUCUCUGGGCAGUAACUGACGCUGAGGAGCGAAAGCGUGGGGAGCGAACAGGAUUAGAUACCCUGGUAGUCCACGCCGCAAACGGUGGGUACUAGGUGUGGGUUUCCUUCCUUGGGAUCCGUGCCGUAGCUAACGCAUUAAGUACCCCGCCUGGGGAGUACGG